UGCAGUCGAGCGGACAGAAGGGAGCUUGCUCCCGGAUGUUAGCGGCGGACGGGUGAGUAACACGUGGGUAACCUGCCUGUAAGACUGGGAUAACUCCGGGAAACCGGAGCUAAUACCGGAUAGUUCCUUGAACCGCAUGGUUCAAGGAUGAAAGACGGUUUCGGCUGUCACUUACAGAUGGACCCGCGGCGCAUUAGCUAGUUGGUGGGGUAAUGGCUCACCAAGGCGACGAUGCGUAGCCGACCUGAGAGGGUGAUCGGCCACACUGGGACUGAGACACGGCCCAGACUCCUACGGGAGGCAGCAGUAGGGAAUCUUCCGCAAUGGACGAAAGUCUGACGGAGCAACGCCGCGUGAGUGAUGAAGGUUUUCGGAUCGUAAAGCUCUGUUGUUAGGGAAGAACAAGUGCGAGAGUAACUGCUCGCACCUUGACGGUACCUAACCAGAAAGCCACGGCUAACUACGUGCCAGCAGCCGCGGUAAUACGUAGGUGGCAAGCGUUGUCCGGAAUUAUUGGGCGUAAAGGGCUCGCAGGCGGUUUCUUAAGUCUGAUGUGAAAGCCCCCGGCUCAACCGGGGAGGGUCAUUGGAAACUGGGAAACUUGAGUGCAGAAGAGGAGAGUGGAAUUCCACGUGUAGCGGUGAAAUGCGUA
rnacentral:rRNA from 1 species